GGGAAGGUGGCUCAGUGGUAGAGUGCUUGCCUUGCAUGCAUGAGGCCCUGGGUUCGAUUCUUCCCU
rnacentral:tRNA from 1 species